rnacentral:rRNA from 1 species
GAGCGGCAACAGCUCAAAUUUGAAAUCUGGCCUCUUGGGGUCCGAGUUGUAAUUUGUAGAGGAUGUUUCGGGUACCGCCUCGGUUUAAAUUUCUUGGAACAGAAUGUCAAAGAGGGUGAGAAUCCCGUCUUGGACCGGCGGUAGGGCCUAUGUGAAACUCCUUCGACGAGUCGAGUUGUUUGGGAAUGCAGCUCAAAAUGGGUGGUAAAUUUCAUCUAAAGCUAAAUAUUGGCCAGAGACCGAUAGCGCACAAGUAGAGUGAUCGAAAGAUGAAAAGCACUUUGAAAAGAGAGUUAAACAGUAUGUGAAAUUGUUGAAAGGGAAGCGCUUGCAACCAGACUUGAGCGCGGCGGUUCCCCCUUGCUUCUGCUUGGGUUACUCCGCCGUGUCCAGGCCAACAUCGGUUCUGGGGGUCGGUCAAAGGCUCUGGGAAUGUAUCUACCCACGGGUAGACUUAUAGACCAGGGUGUCAUGCGACCUCCCGGGACCGAGGAACGCGCUUCGGCUCGGAUGUUGGCGUAAUGGUUGUCAGCGACCCGU